rnacentral:rRNA from 1 species
GACGAACGCUAGCGGCAGGCCUAACACAUGCAAGUCGAGGGGUAGAAGGAGCUUGCUCCUUUGAGCCCGGCGCACGGGUGCGUAACGCGAAUGCAAGCUACCUUGUACAGGGGAAUAGCCCUGAGCAAUUUGGAUUAAUUCUCAAUAGUAUAUCACCUUCGCAUGUUGGUUAUUUUAAAGUUCCAACGGUACAAUAUGAGCAUGCGUCCCAUUAGUUAGUUGGUAAGGUAACGGCUUACCAAGACGAUGAUGGGUAGGGGUCCUGAGAGGGAGAGCCCCCACAGUGGGACUGGGACACGGGCCAGAGUGCUACGGGAGGCAGCAGUAAGGGAUAUUGGUCAAUGGUCGAAAGACUGAACCAGCCAUGCCGCGUGCAGGAAGACGGUCCUAUGGAUUGUAAACUGCUUUUAUACAGGCUGAAUCCCUCCGACGUGUGGGAGCUUGACGGUACUGGAGGAAUAAGGAUCGGCUAACUCCGUG